rfam:Planktothrix serta PCC 8927 isolate BBR_PRJEB10992 genome assembly, scaffold: BBR_A_PL8927_scaffold13
GUCAGCACCCCGCUCUCUUUGUGACGGGGCUUCAUGCCUCUAACUUUAGAUAGCUCGUACCCGCCUAAGCCUAACGGCUACGUUUUCUGGAUCAUAAUACCCACGAAUACGACGCUAGUUUGUGGCUCUAUUGUUAACAAUUAAACAGUUUUACGAGGGGUAAGACAGUGUUGUUAACCUAACAAGUUCAGAAAAUCUUAUUGAAGCGAACAUUAC